UGGGGAAUUUUCCGCAAUGGGCGAAAGCCUGACGGAGCAAUACCGCGUGAGGGAGGAAGGCUCUUGGGUUGUAAACCUCUUUUCUCAGGGAAGAAGUUCUGACGGUACCUGAGGAAUCAGCAUCGGCUAACUCCGUGCCAGCAGCCGCGGUAAUACGGAGGAUGCAAGCGUUAUCCGGAAUGAUUGGGCGUAAAGCGUCCGCAGGUGGCUGUGUAAGUCUGCUGUCAAAGAACGAGGCUCAACCUUGUCAGGGCAGUGGAAACUACACGGCUAGAGUGCGUUCGGGGCAGAGGGAAUUCCUGGUGUAGCGGUGAAAUGCGUAGAUAUCAGGAAGAACACCGGUGGCGAAAGCGCUCUGCUAGGCCGCAACUGACACUCAUGGACGAAAGCUAGGGGAGCGAAUGG
rnacentral:rRNA from 1 species